rnacentral:lncRNA from 1 species
CACACAACAACCCCAAUACUUGGCCCCGGGACGACAAAUUUCAUAUUGCUAUGCUUGAGUAGACGGGAUUUUGGUUGAGUGCAUAACACGAGUGAUGCAAGGUUGAUUAAAUAAUCAAGACCGGUUAAGACAAGAUUUUCAAGACCCCGGACGCAAUGCAACUCUGGGUGAAGGACGGUUGAUCGGCUCCCUGGAGAACCCAGUGGAUGACCCGGGAUGCUGGAGAUGCCAUGACAUCCUGCGGAAAGCUUCACCCAGGCUCAAAGAGACGGACGGAUAUUUUCAAGACCCAAGGCUUACCUGCACAGCCACAAGUCAUUAUGGGCUCUCGCUUGGUUGGACAACGCGGCGACUCUGGACAGGCGGUGCUAGCAGAUGUAGAAGAACGGUAGUAUUGGAUGGGCACCGACAGGGAUUCAGAGGGACCCGUUGAAAGACCAUGUUUUGAUCAUCCGGUCUUCAAACACCCUGAAGUGCGAGGACAUACACGGAGGCGAUAAAAUCUUGUGGGGAACGUGUGCAAAACUCUGCAGAGUACUCAAACCUAAUCGAUUAGCCGUGUCCACGGUCAUGGAC